rnacentral:rRNA from 1 species
GGGGGGGGGGCAAGCGUUGUUCGGAAUUACUGGGCGUAAAGGGCGCGCAGGCGGCCUGGGCAAGUCCUUCGUGAAAUCCCACAGCUCAACUGUGGAACUGCGGAGGAUACUGCUAGGCUUGAGUCCGGGAGAGGGGAGUGGAAUUCCCAGUGUAGCGGUGAAAUGCGUAGAUAUUGGGAGGAACACCAGUGGCGAAGGCGGCUCCCUGGACCGGUACUGACGCUGAGGCGCGAAAGCUAGGGGAGCAAACGGGAUUAGAUACCCCGGUAGUCCUAGCUGUAAACGUUGAGCACUUGGUGUGGCGGGUGUCGACCCCUGCCGUGCCAAGCUAACGCAUUAAGUGCUCCGCCUGGGGAGUACGGUCGCAAAGGCUG